CGCGGCCUAUCAGCUUGUUGGUGGGGUAAUGGCCUACCAAGGCGACGACGGGUAGCCGGCCUGAGAGGGCGACCGGCCACACUGGGACUGAGACACGGCCCAGACUCCUACGGGAGGCAGCAGUGGGGAAUAUUGCACAAUGGGCGAAAGCCUGAUGCAGCGACGCCGCGUGGGGGAUGACGGCCUUCGGGUUGUAAACCUCUUUCAGUAGGGACGAAGCGUAAGUGACGGUACCUACAGAAGAAGCACCGGCCAACUACGUGCCAGCAGCCGCGGUAAUACGUAGGGUGCAAGCGUUGUCCGGAAUUAUUGGGCGUAAAGAGCUCGUAGGCGGUUUGUCGCGUCGGCUGUGAAAACCUGGGGCUCAACCCCGGACCUGCAGCCGAUACGGGCAAACUUGAGUUCGGCAGGGGAGACUGGAAUUCCUGGUGUAGCGGUGAAAUGCGCAGAUAUCAGGAGGAACACCGGUGGCGAAGGCGGGUCUCUGGGCCGAUACUGACGCUGAGGAGCGAAAGCGUGGGGAGCGAACAGGAUUAGAUACCCUGGUAGUCCACGCCGUAAACGUUGGGCGCUAGGUGUGGGCCUCAUUCCACGAGGUCUGUGCCGCAGCUAACGCAUUAAGCGCCCCGCCUGGGGAGUACGG
rnacentral:rRNA from 1 species